AAGAGUAAAAGGCAAACUUGGUGAAAGCCAGGGGCGCAAAGCUACGGACCUAAGCAGUGAAGACUGUAUGGCCGCCGGGCUGCCAUU
rnacentral:ncRNA from 1 species